GAGCGCCGUAUGCGAUGAAAGUUGCACGUGCGGUGCAAACGAGGGGAAAAGGGAGCGAUAACGUCAAACCCUUACCUAUUCGUAU
rnacentral:ncRNA from 1 species